CACAUGCAGUCGAGCGGUAGAGAGAGCUUGCUUCUCUUGAGAGCGGCGGACGGGUGAGUAAUGCCUAGGAAUCUGCCUGGUAGUGGGGGAUAACGUUCGGAAACGGACGCUAAUACCGCAUACGUCCUACGGGAGAAAGCAGGGGACCUUCGGGCCUUGCGCUAUCAGAUGAGCCUAGGUCGGAUUAGCUAGUUGGUGAGGUAAUGGCUCACCAAGGCGACGAUCCGUAACUGGUCUGAGAGGAUGAUCAGUCACACUGGAACUGAGACACGGUCCAGACUCCUACGGGAGGCAGCAGUGGGGAAUAUUGGACAAUGGGCGAAAGCCUGAUCCAGCCAUGCCGCGUGUGUGAAGAAGGUCUUCGGAUUGUAAAGCACUUUAAGUUGGGAGGAAGGGUUGUAGAUUAAUACUCUGCAAUUUUGACGUUACCGACAGAAUAAGCACCGGCUAACUCUGUGCCAGCAGCCGCGGUAAUACAGAGGUGCAAGCGUUAAUCGGAAUUACUGGCGUAAGCGCGCGUAGGUG
rnacentral:rRNA from 1 species